GGCCAGGUGAACUUGACCAACUGUUCCCCCACACAGACAACAAUGACUGAAGAUCAGAGGAGAGCCACAUUCACCUCAACACUGUCAGUACCAUAAGCAGGAGGCCCGAGGACAGACUGGCCAAAGAUUCACCUCGCCGCACACACCAGGCGAAGAUAAUCGCUAUGUGUACAGGUUCUGUAAUAGAUAGAUCGGUAUAGACUCAUUGAGGUCAGCAAUAAGGUCAUUAAUUAUUUACCCUUCAGACAAGAGGUCACAAGAGGCCUGAGAGGAAAGGUGUUGAUGUGAGAAUUAGCAUGGUGGAAAGGAGAUGCAGCAGCAGAACAAAGGCCACAAUGAAUUGAAAAACAGCAGUGUGUGACCUCUGAGAUUAGGGAGAUAUUUCACUGUCAAAUGAAGCUAUCCACUGUUCCCCUCUUUAAUUCAUAUUAUUGUUUACAUCUGCAUUACUGGCAAUCCUGCUGCUAAUGCUGCUUAACUUAUGUCUGUAAUUCACAAUCUUUGUGAAUACUAUAUCCAUAUUGCCUUAUAAUACAUACAAUACAUACAUUAAUACAAUACAAUACAUUAACACACACAUUGAAUGAACAGAGUAAAAGAUGGCUAGGUAUGAAUUAAAGAUCACACUUCUUUCCCACAUUAAUCACUAGCAUCAGCUAUGUCAGACUUAGAUCUUGUUUCUCUCUAUUGGCUUACAUAGGUAGUAUAACAAGCACCUAUCGAUGUCUAAGCAAAGUGUUUAAAGUUGCCAGGGCAGUUUAUCAAAUGAGUUUUAAUUUCUCUUCGCUUCUUUUUUUUUGUUUGUUUGUUUUGUUUUGUUUUUGGAUCUCACCUCUUGUUGCAGCACUAAGAAACAGUUAUCUGUAGUUACAAAGGUACUGCAGAGCUGUUGCCUGUUUACUUUAAGAUUUUCCAGUCAAAUGUGUAUGUGAAUAAAUAAUUACUGCAGCAGCU